rnacentral:rRNA from 1 species
AUUGAACGCUGGCGGCAUGCCUUACACAUGCAAGUCGAACGGCAGCACGGGUGCUUGCACCUGGUGGCGAGUGGCGAAGGGGUGAGUAAUACAUCGGAACAUGUCCUGUAGUGGGGGAUAGCCCGGCGAAAGCCGGAUUAAUACCGCAUACGAUCUACGGAUGAAAGCGGGGGACCUUCGGGCCUCGCGCUAUAGGGUUGGCCGAUGGCUGAUUAGCUAGUUGGUGGGGUAAAGGCCUACCAAGGCGACGAUCAGUAGCCGGUCUGAGAGGACGACCAGCCACACUGGGACUGAGACACGGCCCAGACUCCUACGGGAGGCAGCAGUGGGGAAUUUUGGACAAUGGGCGAAAGCCUGAUCCAGCAAUGCCGCGUGUGUGAAGAAGGCCUUCGGGUUGUAAAGCACUUUUGUCCGGAAAGAAAACCUUGGCCCUAAUACGGUCGGGGGAUGACGGUACCGGAAGAAUAAGCCCCGGCUAACUACGUG